rnacentral:rRNA from 1 species
UACAGAGGGGGCAAGCGUUGUUCGGAAUUACUGGGCGUAAAGGGCGCGUAGGCGGCCUGCUAAGUCGAACGUGAAAUCCCCUGGGCUCAACCCAGGAACUGCGUCCGAUACUGGUUGGCUUGAAUCCGGGAGAGGGAUGUGGAAUUCCAGGUGUAGCGGUGAAAUGCGUAGAUAUCUGGAGGAACACCGGUGGCGAAGGCGACAUCCUGGACCGGUAUUGACGCUGAGGCGCGAAAGCCAGGGGAGCAACGGG